GGCACUUUGCCGGAGUGGUUAACGGGAUCGCCUGCUACUGGCCUCGGCUUGAGUCAGCGGUUGUGCAUUGCACGCGUGAGUUCGAAUCUCACAGGUGUCG